GCCUAUGAUGAAAACUGUGAAUAGGAAGUGCCGUCUUAUGCGAUAUCUGACGAUGUUUCUCACUGCUCUGAGC